rnacentral:lncRNA from 1 species
GGAUUCGUUCCCACACAGUCAUCACAGCACACUGGGUGAGUCCUCCGCGCUGCAGGGCGGGUUUCUGAGGGCCAGACGCUCCGUCCACCUCAGGGCAGACGCCAGUCCCAAACCCCAGUCCCUUCCACUGGUGACCAUAAGCUUUUCAGCGUCGGGGAGUCUGUUUCUGCUCAGCAAACAACUGAUACAACUAAAAGAGGGAAAGCAAAUUGGGAACAGUAUCCUCUGCAACAUAUGAGAUAAAUUUAUCUUCAUCACAACCCAGCGGAUGAAGUAACAGUUUCCUGUGGCCUCCCUGGUGUGUCGCCGCCAGCAUGGCUUCUCCGUGUGUCACGGUCUGACACACGUGAGUCAAGACCCAGCAGCACACGUGUCCCAGCUCUGUUCACACCCUGUGCAAACAGCUCCCCUGAAGCUGUGGAGUGUUACGUGGGGCACCCUGGAUUUAAUGGACCUGAGGAGAGUCCAUGUAGUCCCUGGAAAUAAACUGCGGCGUUUUGAGUCCUGGCUUUUCAAGGUCAUGGAUGGAGAGGGGCAUGUGCUUUUUACAGGUGCGAGUAUCCUUAGAAAGUGUCUCUAUUUCCUGAACUCAGAAAGCAGAGGCGUGUCCUCUUAAAGAUGCAAGUUUUCAACACCGUUGCAUAUUCAGCACUCGGAGAACAAGACUUGCACCAUCUUCGGAAGAUAUUUGGGUCAUGGUUCGUCUGAUGAAGAGCAAGUCUUCUGAAGAAUAAGGUUUUAUGAAGUUUGUCGUUUUAGGACUGCACUUUAACGGAAUGUGAGGCAUGGACUCUUACGCUUUAAUCAAAGGAAACCUUGAAAGGGCUCUUGGGUCCAACACAAUUUCCUGGAUGAGAACAAUCUGUGAUAACACUUGGCAGUCAGUGCCUAGGCUUUUCUGGUUUUGCGAGUGACGUUUCAAGGGUUUUGUGGGCGGGCUAUAGGGCCAUGAAGGUCAGGACUCUGCAUUUACAACAGAAAGCAGAGUCUCUUGCGUUUUGUGGGCAGGGAGGGGCGCAGAACUGCUCCGAAGGCUUCAGCACACUCUGCAGCGGACCCACCCGCAGGGCGGGAACUGAGCGGUUGGAAACUCCAGGCAUCGAUUCUUCAGCCGGGCCGGGCUCUGAGGACAGGGGACAGGGGUUACCCACAGACACACUUUGCAUUUGUUUUGGUGUUUCUUUUUAGGGAUAUGGAGCUGCCCAGGCUAAGGGGGGAAUUGGAGCUGCUGCUGCAGGCCUGCACCACAGCCACAGCCACGGCCACGGCCACGGCCACGGCCACACAGCCAUGCAGGAUCUGAGCCGCAUGGGUGACCCGCGCUGCAGCUUUGCGACAAUGCCAGACCCUUAACCCACUGAGUGCGACCCGGAUUGAACGUGCAUCCUCACGGAUACCAUGUUGGAUUUUUAACCCCCUGAGCCACAGCAGGAACCCCAACAUUUCCAGUUUUAAGAUAAAUAAGUUCUGGGGACGUCACACCCCCACGAUGACUGCCGCUGAUGCUGCCGGAGGGAAGACGGGAAAGUGGUGAACAGACACAAUCCUAAGUGUUCUCAGCACAGGGAGAAAGCUUUUUUUUCUUUAUUAAAAAAAAUUGUAACUGUAUCAGAUUAUGAUUCUUCUUUUGCCUUUUCUAGGGCCGCUCCCGUGGCACAUGGAGGGUCCCAGGCUAGGGGUCGCAUCGGACCUGCAGCCACCGGCUUACACCGAGCUGUGUCUGUGACCUACACCACAGCUCACGGCAACACCGGAUCCCCAACCCACUGAGUGAGGCCAGGGAUUGAACCCGAAACCUCGUGGAUGCGAGUUGGAUUCGUUAACCACUGAGCCACGAUGGACACUCCAAGGAUCCGGCUUUGUAGCAAAGCUGUUUGUCGUCAGGAAAUCUCCACCAUGCAGCUGAUUCACAAAAAGGAGGUUCGGGAAACGUAGUUCCAAAUUUUGCGUUUUUGAGAACAGCAGAGACUUACCUUGUGAUGUGAGUGAGGGCACCUAUGCCUUAAGCAUUGCUAGGAAGAGGCUGACAACAAAGUGAUUUUGUUCCUAUGGUUCUACCUUUCUUUAAAAAAUUUUUGGCCAUACCCAGGGCAUGCGGCAAUUCCCAGGCCAGAGAGCUAACCCAUACCACAGAGUGACAAUGCUGGGUCCUUAACCCACUGAGCUACCAGGGAGCUCCUUGUACUAAUUUUUUUAAUCAUCUUUUUUUUUACUUAAACUUAUAAUGUUUAAUAGCUUCAGUCAAACACAAAUACGUACUGGUUCCAAAACUGUUUUGAAAUUUGUAGGAACUUCUCAAUAUGCAGGGUGAGAUUUUCACUAACCUCAUGACAGUUUUAUGUACUCUUGCCAAUUUACUUCUCUCCAUUGCAUGUGUAAUGGCCGUGGCUUUGGGGGCACCGGCCAUGUGGUUGGGGACCUCUUACCUGCCCUCUAUUUCUGUUUUAUCCCCUUCCAUGUGUUGAGCCCAUAGAUAGUCAUGAUAUAAACUUUUGAUCUGUUUGUCAGAGCUGCUGGCAUGCUCAGACUAUGCUCGGUCGUUUUAGAUGAGACAGAACAUUCCCGCUCACACAUAUGGACAAAUUCCGGGCCAUUUUCGUUUUCAACGAGCUGGGCCUCUGUUUUAUGUCUAACCUGCUACAGGUUGUUCUGUCUCCUUUUAAACGCCUUCUUCUUUGUGAUAUACAAACACAUGAGUUCAAAUACAUAUGAAUCUUAACUUUUCCGUGGUCUCAUGGAUUGCCUUUAAAAUCUUCAUUAUUCUGCUUUCACGCAGCUAAACUUCGCAUUUGUGCCCUCGCAUUUUGACUUGUAUUUCACAAGUCCUGACUUGGGUUAUUCAGAUCACAUAGCAAACAUGGAGAGAAACUUUCACAACGUUACAUAUCUUGUUAAAACCGCAUUGCCUCCCAACAUCCUCCCUUAUUUUAGUUCAAGGAUUACACCAUCAGCUAGAUUAUUUAUAAUGUGCGUGUGUGGCUGUUCCUUUAAUGAAAAUUGCAUUACUCUUUCGAGAUUUUUAAACGUGGCAGUAGAAGGAAACGAUUUCCUGUGUUCAACCACCUUUCCUGAAGAUGCUACUUUUUGGGGAAAAGGUUGCCAAAAGUAGCAUACAAGCAGUUAUGUAGAAAGAAAUUCAUGGUGACCUUUUUUCUCUGCAUUUUACAAAGUUGUCAUUAAGCGCUUCAUGCCUUUUCAACCUUGUUCGUCUUUCACUUACUUUCAAAAGUUGGUGUAUAAAAAAAUGAAUCAACAUGAAAUACCAGUUUUGCAUAUGUUUCUCAACCAGUUGUGUCACAGUCUAGAGUUUAACUCAAGUCUUCUCACUGGGCAUAUUAUUUGUGGAUUCUAUCAGCUCUGCACACCCAGACCCACAUGUCCUGUUUAAUUCUGAUGUAAACCACUGGCCAAUAAGCUCAUUAAAUGGGAUCAAGGGUAGAUUGAGAAAUGCCUAGAGAGUUAGUUCUUCUGCCUCUGGCCCCAAAAGACUAUGUAACAGCCAGGUUCUUAAUGUAAAGGGAAUGGUCCAAUAUUCGCCUUCUCUGCAAGGUUGGGGGAGUGACAGGAGGCCUUCUUAAAGGUUGACCUGGAGAAAUGAUGUAAAAAAAUACUUGAUCAUUCCAUGUAAGUUUCCUCCAUGUCUUGUCAUGGUUUGGUAGCUCCCUUCUUUUUAGCACUGAAUGAUAUUCCAUUGUCUGAAGGUAUCACAGUUUCUUUAUCCCAACUGAAGGAUGCUGUGAUUGCUUCCAAGUUUUAGCAGUUGUGAAUGAAGCUAAUAUAAACAUCUACAUGCAGAUUUUUGUCUGCCCAUAACCUAAGGUUCCUUUGAGCAAAUACCUUUCAGCAUGACUAUUGGAUCAUAUGGUAAGUUCUGCUUAAUUUUGGAAGAAAAUAAUUUCUCAUUUUCUCAUUCCCUUACUAUUGCCUUUUGCAGAGCAGACAUUUUUAAUUUUAGCCAAGCUUAGCUUAUCCCUUAUUUCUUUCAUGCGUUGUGGUUUUGGUCUUGUAUCUGAAGAGGCAUACCAUACCCAUGGUCAUGGAGGUUUUCUCCUGUGCUAUCUUCUAGGAGUUUUGUCCUUUUUUAUUUUCCAUGUGAGGCUAUGAUUGAUUUUGAUGAAGGUUGUAAGUUCUGUGCUUAGAUUUAUUAUUUUGCUUGUGGACAUCCAGUUAUUCCAACAUGAUAUUGCCUUUUCUCCUUUGCUGGGAACAAUAUGGCUGUUUGUGUGGCCUCUUCCAUUGAUCUAUCUGUGUAUUCUUUUGCCAACACCACACUGCUUUGAUCUCUGUAGCUUUAUGUCAAGUCUUGAAGUUGGGUGACACUCCUCCUCCAGUUCUGUCCUUCUCCUUCAAUAUUGUGGGUCUUUCGUGUCUUCAUAUAAAUUCUGAAAUCAGCUUAAUAAUAUCCACAUGAUAACUUACUGGGAUUUUUAUUAGGAUUGUGUUGAAUCUAUAGAUCAUUUAAGGAACAUAUAGUUUGAUAAUAUAGCAUCUUCUUACUCAUGAACAUGGAAGCUUUCUCUGCUUAUUUAGUUCUUUGAUCUUGUUCAUCAAAGUAUUAUAAAUUUCUUCAUCUAGAUCUUGAACAUAUUUUGUUAAAUCUAUACCCAAAUAUUUCAUUAAUUUGGCUGGUAAUGAAAAUGGUAUUGCCUUUUCAAAUUCAAAUUCCAUUUGCUUAUUGUUAUUAUUUAGGAAAGCAACCAGCUAUUUUAUAUUAAACUAGUCUCCUGCAAUCUUGCUAAAUUGCUUAUUAAUCAAGAAAUUUUUUUCCUACAUGGAUAUUUAUGUCAUCUGAAAACAAAGACAGUUUCAUGUCUUCCUUCCCAGUCUAUAUAUCUUUUAUUUCCAUUUCUUGCCGAUUGCAUCAGCAAGAACUUCCUGUACAAUGCUGAAAAGCACUGGUGAAUGGGGACAUGAUUGCCUUGCACUGGAUCUUAGAGAGCUUCAAGUUUCUCACCCUUGUGUAGGGUUGUUAGCUGUAGGGUUUUUGUUGUUGAUACGCUUCAUCAAGUUGAGGAAGCACCCGUCAUUUCCUAGUUUAAUGAGAGUUUUGAUCAUGAAUGGGCAUUGGGUUUUAUCAAAAGAUUUUUUUUUGCAUCUAUUGAUUUGAUCAUUUUUAGUAACCAGAACAGUGUGUUACUGGCAAAGAAAUAGACAAAUUGCUGAUUUUUAAAAUUCUGUUAGAGUUCCCAUUAUGGCUCAGCAGUUAGUGAAUCCAACUACCAUCCAUGAGGACACAGGUUCAUUCCCUGGCCUUGCUCAGUGGAUUAAGGAUCUGGCAUUGCCAUGAGCUAUGGUGUAGGUCGCAGAUGUGUCUUGGAUCCCCUAUUGCUGUGGCUGUGGCGUAGGCCGGCAGCUACAGCUCUGAUUAGACCCCUAGCCUGGGAACCUCCAUGUGCCAUGUGUGGUCCUAAAAAGACAAAAAGACCAAAAGGAAAAAAAUUAUACUAAUGUGACAGAUUACAUUAAUUGCUUUUCAAGUGCAGUAUCAGCCUUUCACACAUAGGAUAAAUUCUGCAUGGUCAAGGUUUAUAAUUCUCUUUAUGCAUUUUUGAGUUUGAUUUGCAUAUAUUUUGUUGAGGAUUUUUGCGUCUAUGUUCAUAGGAAGUAUCAUUCUGUAGUUUUAAUGUUAUGAUUUAUUCUUUCUCUGCUUUAAGAAUUUAGAGUUUCGGAGCUUCCAGCAUGGCUCAGUGGUUAACGAACCUGACUAGCAUCCAUGAGGACACAGGUUCGAUCCCUGGCCUCACUCAGUGGGUUAAGGAUCCGGCGUUGCUAUGAGCUAUGAUGUAGCUCACAGACCCGGCUUGGAUCCUGCAUUGCUGUGGCUGUGGUGCAGGCCAGUGGCUACAGCUCUGAUUAGACCCCUAGCCUGGAAACCUCCAUAUGCCGUUGGUGUGGCCCUAAAAAGACAAAAGAAAAAAAAAGCAUUUAGAGUUUCAUACCCACUUAAAUCUGUCUUUGUAUUUACAUCUCUCCAUAUAUUCUCUUGCAAGUCUUUCUUUUAGAGAAGUCUUUCUCAGUCUCCCUUUGCAGACAGAAAACCAAGAAAGGAGCCAAACUAUUUGACUGAAAUCCAAAGCAGAAGGAAAAAAAAAAA